rnacentral:tRNA from 1 species
GGAUUGUGGCUCAGCGGUAGAGCGCUCGCUUAGCCCGGGAAGGAUCUGGGUUCGAUUCUUAGCACCA